AUGAUAGAGGGGAAUAUUAAGGAACUGGCAUUUGGGACUGGGACACAACUUCUUGUUACCCCAAAUGUUACUCCAUCUCCUUCAGUCUACAGGCUGAUCUCUAAAGAUGAUGAAGAUUUGGAAAUGUGCCUUAUCACAGAUUACUCCCCCGAAAACCUCACUGUUACCUCGGCUGAAAAGCAGACAAAUGCUGUUGUGGAGGUGGCAACAUCUGAGAACAAACAGGAAGCAAGCUACCUGACAACCUACUGGGCCAGGAAAGAUGAAAUGCAUUGUGGUGCACAUCACGAGGGCUUUGGAGAACUGGAGAGCGAGGAUCCUGAAAGUGGUGCCAGCACUGUCUGUGUUACAGGGGUGUCUCUACACUUCAGGACAGAUGAAAACCUGAACAUGCUGUCUUUAUCACAGCUGGGCCUGAAAAUAAUUUUAAUGAAAGGAAUAAUUUUUAAUGUGCUGAUGACGAUGCUUAUGUGGAAAAAAAAGUGA